rnacentral:rRNA from 1 species
UACGUAGGGUGCGAGCGUUAAUCGGAAUUACUGGGCGUAACGCGUGCGCAGGCGGUUUGCUAAGACAGGUGUGAAAUCCCCGGGCUUAACCUGGGAACUGCGCUUGUGACUGGCAGGCUAGAGUACGGUAGAGGGGGUGGAAUUCCUGGUGUAGCAGUGAAAUGCGUAGAUAUCAGGAGGAACACCGAUGGCGAAGGCAGCCCCCUGGGCCUGUACUGACGCUCAUGCACGAAAGCGUGGGGAGCAAACAGGAUUAGAUACCCGGGUAGU